UCCCGCCUUGCAUCAACUGAAU
rnacentral:ncRNA from 2 species